rnacentral:rRNA from 1 species
GCUAAUACAUGCUUAAGGGUCCGACUCGGAAGGGAAGGACUGUAUUUAUUAGAUCGAAAACCGAUUUGGAGAGGGGGUUAAACUUCUUUCCGGUGGGYCAUGACUGUAACAGGUUGUGUUGCCCAGACAUUUGGUGAAUCAUGAUAACUUGUCGAAUCGGAAUGUUGGCAGAGAUGUUGACGAUCCGAUGAAUCAUUGAAAUUUCUGCCCUAUCAACUUUUGAUGGUAGGAUAGAGGCCUACCAUGGUUUUGACGGGUAACGGAGAAUUAGGGUUCGAUUCCGGAGAGGGAGCCUGAGAGACGGCUACCACUUCCAAGGAAGGCAGCAGGCGCGCAAAUUACCCAAUCCCAAUAAGCUUGGGGAGGUAGUGACAAAAAAUAACAAUAUAGAGUUCUUUAUGGAUUUCUGUAAUUGGAAUGGUUUUGAUGUAAAUACUUAGGAGAAUUCAAUUAGAGGGCAAGUCUGGUGCCAGCAGCCGCGGUAAUUCCAGCUCUAAUAGUGUAUACUAAAAUUGCUGCAGUUAAAAAGCUCGUAGUUGGAUUUUGGAGGGAACGGGAAAUUUAUCAUUUUUUUGUGAAAGCAGUUCAGUGGUUGGAUUCACUGACUCUCUUAAUGUGCUGCUCUGAUUUAUCUGAUGGAUUUUGUUUGGAAUUUGUUUGAUAUUCCCUGGACAGUUUGUGGGGGUUGAGUCUCUUUAACGAGGGGUUUGAUUCACAUUGAUUGUUUGUUGGGGGGUAUUUGAAUGGUCUGAAUUGAGAUUUGUUGGAGGGGCAGAUUUAAUAACAUUGGGACUUUUUGUUUCUUCCGAUAUAUUGGUUGUCUCUGAGUCAAAUUGGGGGCAAUUGAUUGUUAUUUAGAUUCGACCUUUUUUCUUUUGUUGGGUUUCAGGAAGAGUUAAAUCUUUUUGGAGCUUGCUGAAGAAGAUUUCUGUAAUAGGAAAAGAAAGAUCGGAGUGGUUUACUUUGAAGAAAAUGGAGUGUUCAAAGCAGGCGAAUUAUCGCAACUGAACACAUUAGCAUGGAAUAAUAAAAUAGGACACUUGGGUGGUUUCUUUGGAGUUUCUUUGUAACAGAAGAGAUUUUGAAGUAUUGAUGACCAUCUCGGGCGCUUGGAGUCUUGUAAUUUGACGACUGGCCCACUUGUGGGUCAGAAGUGUUAGAAGAUUUUGAGUUUAAGCUUGAUUACAAUUUUUUAUUGGUUAUUUGGAACGAGUGUAAUGAUUAAGAGGGACAGUUGGGGGCAUUGGUAUUGCAUUGUCAGAGGUGAAAUUCUUGGAUUUAUGCAAGACGAACGAGUGCGAAAGCAUUUGCCAAGGAUGUUUUCAUUAAUCAAGAACGAAAGUUAGGGGAUCGAAGGCGAUCAGAAACCGCCCUAGUCUUAACUAUAAACUAUGCCAACUAGGGAUUGGAGGGAUACUUUUUUGAUAAGUAAAAAGCCCCGUCAGGACCUUUAGAGAAAUCGUUAAGUCUCUGGGUUCUGGGGGGAGUAUGGUCGCAAGUCUGAAACUUAAAGAAAUUGACGGAAGGGCACCACCAGGUGUGGAGCCUGCGGCUUAAUUUGACUCAACACGGGGAAACUUACCAGGUCCAGACACGGGAAGGAUUGACAGCUUGAUAGUACUUUCUUGAUUCCGUGGGUGGUGGUGCAUGGUCGUUCUUAGUUGGUGGAGUGAUUUGUCUGGUUAAUUCCGAUAACGAACGAGACCUCAUCCUGCUAAAUAGCAAUAUGAUUUUUUCAAGUCCCUGACAACGUCUAUGUUGGCGUGUGUUGGGAAUGUUUGAUCUGGAAAAGGGUUUCCUUUUUUGGGUGGAGCAUUCUUUAAUAUUGAAAUGCAUGUAAACAUAAUAGAGGUUAGUUUUGAGACAGAGGGGGGAUGGUUUUCCUUGGGGUUGAAGGGUCAAACUUUUGGUCUUGGGGGGAGUUGUCUUGUUUUUCUGUUUCGAGUUUUAUGGGGAUUUAGACUAUUGGCUUUUCUUUUGAUAGAAAUGUUGGAGGAAAAGACGUCUAAGAAAUUGUAGAUAAACCCGAUGGUAAUUCGUUUGGGGGGCUUCUUAGAGGGACUACCCUGGUUGCACAGGGGGGAAGCAUGAGGCAAUAACAGGUCUGUGAUGCCCUUAGAUGUCCUGGGCCGCACGCGCGCUACACUGACAGAGUCAGAAAGUUUUAUAUACGCCACCUGCUUUUAUAAAAAGGGGGUGUUCUGUGUUUUUGUUCUGUUUUUGGAUGUAACAGUUCAGGGAUGGGGGAAGGAUGUGGAAUGCCUUUUGGUGGGUGGAUUUCCUUGCCUGAAAGGGUUGGGUAAUCUUUUGGAAACUCUGUCGUGAUGGGGAUUGAUCUUUGUAAUUUUGGAUCAUGAACGAGGAAUACCUAGUAAGCGCAAUUCAUCAGAUUGCGCUGAUUACGUCCCUGCCCUUUGUACACACCGCCCGUCGCUCCUACCGAUUGAAUGAUCAGAUGAAAUGUUCGGAUUGUGUCUUUGCAGAUGGCCUUUUUUGGGUUUGUCAGUGAAGGUGCGAGAAGAACAGUGAAUCUUAUUAUUUAUA